ensembl:lncRNA
CAACUGUCACAGGAGUGCGCAGCACAAGACUUGAAAGCUCCCUUAAGACUCCCCACUAAGUCCAGUCUUGCAUAUGCACCAGAGAAGUAAAGGACUCUUCUAAGCCUGAGCAGUAACAAGAAGCAAGUCAAGAGUGUUUACAGGAGCGAUGGAUACAUAAGGAGACUUGGGCAUGUUUUCAUCUGAAAGAGGCCUUGUUCUUAGCCCAAUCAUUGAACAGGCACAACCUUUGAAAUGCAGACUUGACAGGCAGAGCUGGAAUAUCUACUUCCCUUCCCGGGGCAGCUCCUGCGAGCGCGAGGCCUGCCUGCCCCAACAGGCCCGGCUCUGCCGGCUGGCUCCGAGGGGCACGGCGCACCUCAGAGCUGGGCGCUGCUCGGGCGGCCUGCCCGGCUGCUACGGGCUCGCAGGUGGCACAGGAGGCGUCACCCGUGUGGGCUUAAUUCUAAGAUAGGGACAGAGGCCGUAAACUGCCUGUAAAAACGCCGAGAAGCGUAGAAACGCUCUAUGACUACAUAUCCCCUAGCGGCAUCUACCACAUGUUUCUGCAUGGCUUCACGAUGCGGCUCCGUUGCACAAGUUUGAGCAGAUCAAACUUAUUUUAUUUGUCUCACACUUCAUUAGAAGGUUUCAUUGGAUAAAGUUUUUCGUAGUUUAUCUUUGAGGUGGCACAGGAAGCAACAGGUUGUGUGGGUCACCUGCACUGACAAAGAUGAAAAUAGGGCUGGUAGAACAGCAGCUUCAUGCACGGGUUUGCUUUUGCCCUUUUUGAUCCGUUCAUAAAUCCUGUUGUGAAAUAAAAUGCAGAGUUUGGAAAAGUUGGUCUUCGCA